GACGGAGGGCGCUAGCGUUGUUCGGAAUUACUGGGCGUAAAGGGCGCGUAGGCGGCCGUGUGCGUCGGGUGUGAAAGCCCGGGGCUCAACCCCGGAACGGCAUCCGAUACGGGACGGCUGGAGACCGGGAGAGGAGGGGGGAAUAGCCAGUGUAGAGGUGAAAUUCGUAGAUAUUGGCUGGAACACCGGUGGCGAAAGCGGCUCUCUGGCCCGGUUCUGACGCUGAGGCGCGAAAGCGUGGGGAGCAAACAGG
rnacentral:rRNA from 1 species